rnacentral:rRNA from 1 species
CGCUGGCGGCGUGCCUAACACAUGCAANUGAACGAGARANUGGAGCAAUCCAUGAGUACAGUGGCGCACGGGUGAGUAACACGUGACUAACCUACCCUUGAGUGGGGAAUAACUUCGGGAAACCGAGGCUAAUACCGCAUAACACCUACGGGUCAAAGGAGCAAUUCGCUCGAGGAGGGGGUCGCGGCCGAUUAGUUAGUUGGCGGGGUAAUGGCCCACCAAGACGAUGAUCGGUAUCCGGCCUGAGAGGGCGCACGGACACACUGGAACUGAAACACGGUCCAGACUCCUACGGGAGGCAGCAGUGGGGAAUUUUGCGCAAUGGGGGAAACCCUGACGCAGCAACGCCGCGUGGAGGAUGAAGUCCUUCGGGACGUAAACUCCUUUCGAUCGGGACGAUAAUGACGGUACCGAGAGAAGAAGCCCCGGCUAACUUCGUGCCAGCAGCCGCGGUAAUACGAGGGGGGCGAGCGUUGUUCGGAAUUAUUGGGCGUAAAGGGUGCGUAGGCGGUUUGGUAAGUCUUAUGUGAAAUCUAUGGGCUCAACUCAUAGUCUGCAUGAGAAACUGCCGGGCUUGAGUGUGGGAGAGGUGAGUGGAAUUUCCGGUGUAGCGGUGAAAUGCGUAGAUAU